CCCGGUUACAUUUCGCAUGAUUCGAGCAUCAAUUUUGCUCAGCUCUACUGAUAACUGGUGUUUCUGUCUCCGAAUCACAACUUGUAUACAAGUGUCCAUUUGAUGCACAUUGUCCUUGGUUUUCCAAUUAUUGACUUCACCAGAUUCCAAGUCGCACAACCCAGAACUCAUACCACUGUAAGUAUCCUCAUAUCCAAAUUGAUUGGCAUUCAG
rnacentral:misc_RNA from 1 species